rnacentral:rRNA from 1 species
UACGUAGGGACCAAGCGUUGUUCGGAUUUACUGGGCGUAAAGCGUGCGCAGGCGGUUAUGUAAGACAGGUGUGAAAUCCCCGGGCUUAACCUGGGAACUGCAUUUGUGACUGCAUGGCUAGAGUUUGGCAGAGGGGGGGUAGAAUUCCACGUGUAGCAGUGAAAUGCGUAGAUAUGUGGAGGAACACCGAUGGCGAAGGCAGCCCCCUGGGUCAAGACUGACGCUCAUGCACGAAAGCGUGGGGAGCAAACAGG